UUUUUCUUUUUAUAAUAAAAGAAAUAGUAGUUAUUUUGCUAUUUAUAAGUGUUUGAAGAAGUGAGAUGUCAAAUAUGUCAAUUCUAGUGUUAAUAUUUUAUUUAGAUAUUGAUGUUUUUUAUAAUUUUUCAUGUAGUGACAUUCUAGUUGACACCGAAUUUCAUCAGUUGGAGCGUUAUAUAUUUCAAACACUUGCUCCUUCUCAGAACAUUAAUGGAGAAGUUAGUGAAUGAGUAUGUAUAUUAUUUUAAGUAUAUUUAAUUUAUUUUGUUAACACAACGUUUGGUUUAUUUUGAUAUACAACAUUUAGAUUAUAAACAUUGCAUCGGAGAUGUGUACACAUAAAAGGAAAGAUUCUAUGAGUAAGACUGGUUCAAACUGGUACCUAACUACUUGGAUGACGGUAAUAAGUUCAGACAUGCAUAUUUUUUUUUUAAUUAAACACGAUACAUAUGUUAUAUUUAUAUUUUAAUUUAUGUUUGAGAUACAAAGUAAAUUUACUUAUUCCAAGAAAAGCCAACGAAGUGGUGGAACAAGUAAUCCAAUGAGAUCAUUCUUUUUAGGAGAUUUAGCUUUGUGCGAGAAGGUAUAUUAAUAUGAAAUUUAUAAUUAUAUUAUAAUACAAGGAUUGUAGUUGUAUUUAUGUACUUGUUGUUUACAUAUUUUUUUUUUCUUUAGAUAUUUGUUCCUGUUCAUGUAAGGUCCGAGGAUCAUUGGAUCUUGUUGAUAGUAAAGAUGAAGGGGAUAAUAGAAAUAUGGGACUCACUUCAUGGUGGAAAGUCUGUUGGGAAUGAAAUUUUGAAGGAAUCGGUUAGAUAAAUUACUAUUAUUCAUAAUAAUAUAUCUAUGUGCACUUUUAUGGUUAUUUGAUAUUGGGUGGUGUCUCUUUUGCUUAGAUAAAAAAUUUGGAUUGCUUUUUAUCUGAAGAAAUAAAAAAGUUGCAUGGGGGAAAUAAGUGGUCAUUUACAGAAUUUGAAGUUAUUAUGAUGGAUGUACCUCAACAGCCUAACACUUUUGAUUGUGGGAUCUAUGUUAUCAACUUCAUGGAGGAACGAGAUACACAGUUUAUUGUCCCCCUAAUUAUGACAGCGAUAAUGAGCGUAUGCGUGUUGCUUGGAAAAUAUUUUCUUCAAGCUUCAACAAAGUUAGGGAGUCUCAAAUCAAGAACACAUAGACGAAGAAUUUAAAGUUGCAUCUCUGUGUCUGUCGAAACUUUUUCCUGGAUCGUAGUGUUUUUUUAUUAUCUUUUAUGAACAAGAAUAGUUGUAAUUUUUCUUUUUCGAAUGAACAAGGAAAAAUUAUUGAUUUGAAUAAGUACACUUGUUUUUUUGAAAGAGGUAUUACUUUUCAAGUCAUUAUAACAUUUCUAUCUAUAAAUUUAUUCCAUUUCAAGUUU